UUUAGGCAGAAUCUCACUCUGUCACCCAGGCUAGAGUGCAGUGGCACGAUUUAGGCUCACUGCAACCUCCGCUUCCCGGGUUCAAGCGAUUCUCCUGCCUCAUCCUCCUGAAUAGCUGGGAUUACAGGCACCUGCCACCACGCUUAGCCGAUUUUUUGUAUUUUUGGUAGAGACAGGGUUUUACCAUAUUGGUCAGGCUGGUCUUGAACUCCUGACCUCAAGUGAUCCACCCGCCUUGGCCUCUCAAAGUGCUGGGUUACAGCGUGAGCCACCGCACCUGGCUAAAAAUUUCUUUUCUCUCUCCCAUGUUCAUUCUCUGCCUCUUCUUCUGUUACCCAGCAUGGUUGGUGACCUAACCAUGGAGUGGGCCUGCCUGUUGAGCCAUUCUGCUGUGAAGAGAUGGGGCAUACGUGGAAUGUUCAUGUUUCUGUCUGCCUUCACUUUCGAGCAUGUUCUGUGUACCAGGCCCCAUACAAAGUGCUUUAGGUAAGUAUUACUAUCCCAUGACAAAUGUUUUAGGUAAGUAUUAUUAUCCCAUUUUACACAUGAAGAAACUGAGACUCAGGGAUUUCCACCACCAUGGAUGGCACAGAGUUAGGACCGAGGUCUCUCCAGCCCCAAAGUUGAGCCUUCAUCCAUCAAGCCAUGCCACUUUUGGAAUUGUGUCUGUCCAACGUCAGAACUUCUUUCAUUCCCUGUCCUUGUCCUUGUUGAAUGUUGUAUGUUCAGAGAUUUUUCCUUGGCUUUAGGGUCUGGGUCACAACUCCACCACACCCUCAGGGACAUGGUGCAUCUCACCAGGGAGGUUAUUCCUUCAAAAGUGUGGGCUCUUGGGGCGACACUGAAAGGGGAGUCAGAGCUUCAGAGUUUGUGGUUUCCUGGGCAAAUUCCACAGUGAAAAGAACAAGACAAGAAUCAUUCAUUUGAGUGCUUUAAAAUAAUAAAUUAUUGUUUCUAUUUCCUGAGCACUUACAAAGUGCCAGGCAUUGCGACAAGCACUUCACACACAUUAUCUCACCAUAUUUCCAACUACCCGCAAGGUAUAGGUCCCAAUCCCUUACCUGGUUCCGUUCAGAUUCAGGUAUGUUUCAGAAUUCCGAAGCGUUCAUGUUUUUAAGGGGCAAAUCUGUGCCUGUACUGUAUUUUUCAUAACACCUCCCAGCAAGGUCUGGGGUGACAUCCAUCAUUAGACAUCGAUAUUUCUGCAGCUGACAUAUGGAUAAUCAUGCUUAAUGGGAUAAAUAAAAACUAUAUUAUAUAAAGUCUCAUAAUCUUUCAGGUCAGGUUUUACCAUCAAAUGAAUUUCCUGCUAACUUAAAAAAAAAGCUGUUUUUCAGAGCCUACUGGAUUUCUGAAUUGCUGAUAAGGGAUUAUGGAUCUGGAAUAUUAUUUUUCCCACUGUAUAGAUGAGAAAACUGAGAUUUAGAGACAUCAAGGAACUUAUCCAAGGUCAUACCACUAAGUGGUGGAGCCAGGGUUUGGAGCUGGUUUGAUGUGCUUGUACCCCA
rnacentral:lncRNA from 1 species